AGAAAAGAUAUGGCAACCCUGAUGUAAUAUGGACAUGUUAAUAAGCACUCAAAUUCAUCCUAUCUUAUUCCACCUUUUACUGAAUCAUUAUGAAAUUAUCUAAACACAAAGUAAUUUGGGGAUUGCCACUUAAACCAAUUAUCAUGAAAGUUUGAAAUUAUAAAUGAGAAAAUUAAAUACAUUUUAUUUGUAGAGCUCUUGUCCAUGAGAAAAUUUUAUUACAAUUGAUUUGCCCAAAGCACACACACACACACACACACACACACACACACACACACACACACAAAAGCAAGCACAUGUCCAAGUGUUUAAGUUAUUUAAUUUUAUUUUACAUACAAUCUUAUUCACACACACACACACAAAAGCAAGCACAUACCCAAAUGUAUCUAGUAUUUUACAUACAAACUUGUUCGUCUACACACACACACACACACACACACACACACACACAAAA